UAUCUCUGUAGAGUCUGCAUAUCAAUAAGCGGAGGAAAAGAAACUAACUAGGAUUCCCUUAGUAACGGCGAGUGAAGCGGGAAGAGCUCAAAUUUGAAAUCUUCAAGGUUUUACCUUGACGAAUUGUAGUUUAAAGAAGUGUUUUCUGUUGGUGUUUUGGUAAAAGUUCUUUGGAAUAGGACGUCAUAGAGGGUGAGAAUCCCGUAUUUGACCAUUACUUCCAGCGUUGUGAUACACUUUCAAAGAGUCGGAUUGUUUGGGAAUGCAGUCCAAAAUGGGUGGUAAAUUUCAUCUAAAGCUAAAUAUUGGCGAGAGACCGAUAGCGAACAAGUACCGUGAGGGAAAGAUGAAAAGAACUUUGAAAAGAGAGUUAAACAGUACGUGAAAUUGUCAAAAGGGAAGCGUUUGACACCAGUGUUGUUUUCUCGAAAAUCAAUUAAAAAAAGUUGGAUUUUGUAUUGUUAAGACCUUAUCAGCUUACUGUACUCUUUUCUUGCUUUUUUUAAUGCACUUUUCGUUUAACAAGUCAACAUCAAUUUCUUUUGUUGUAAAAGAGUCAUUGGAAGGUGGCUUUCACUUUCGGAUGAAAGUGUUUAUAGCCUUUGGACUUCUGCAAUCGGAGAGAUUGAGGUCUGCAGCGUAGAUCCUUCGGGGCUAGAUACGUAGAUGCUAAGUUAUAGUUUUUUAUAGACAACUUGUUGACUAUAAUUAAUCAUGUAGCUUACUCGUUUGCGCUAUUUUACCUACGCUUAGGAUGUUGAAGAUGUAGCACAUCA
rnacentral:rRNA from 1 species